AAGUCGUAACAAGGUUUCCGUAGGUGAACCUGCGGAAGGAUCAUUAACACGUAUCCACGUAUCAACCCCAUGUGCUCUUUGGUCUCGUACCCUGUCAGUCAGGGAAAGUUUGGUGUAUCAGUUCGAAUGGUGAGAAAGCCUCGUGCUUUCUGAACUGGUAUUCCGCAUAGACUUUCUCGCUUUUGACAGGCUUUUUGUUCUUUUCACCAUUGGGAGCAACCCUUUUAUUAAACUAUAAACCCCUUGUACCUUUAUUGAUACUGAUUCAAUGUUUAACCGGCUGGAAACGGCCUGUUGAUCAAUGAUACGAAACGCUUGACAACUCUUAGCAACGGAUAUCUUGGCUCUC
rnacentral:misc_RNA from 1 species